CAUGAACCAACCAGCUCCACGAAGAAGAAACUGGAAAAAGUGUGAGACUUGACUUUAAGACCCAGGGUGGCGUGUGGAAGCUGAUAACGGGGAGAAAGGCCACGAUCUCCAGCCAACGGAUGAACAACUCCUCAUCUGCGACCAGGUCCCCAGACAGAGAGCCACCUACACAGAGAGACAUACACCAGAUGUGCGCUCUUUGUCUGAUAAAAGCAUCUAAAGGCAAAGGUAUCAUCACGUGAUUGCAAGUGAGGAAAGUGACCCAUUGGCUGUGGUAUUACCUACUGCAUCAGGAAUGAGGAAGUUGUAUCCCAGCAGAGU